rnacentral:rRNA from 1 species
GACGAACGCUGGCGGCGUGCUUAACACAUGCAAGUCGAACGGAAAGGCCCUGCUUUUGCGGGGUGCUCGAGUGGCGAACGGGUGAGUAACACGUGAGUAACCUGCCCUUGACUUUGGGAUAACUUCAGGAAACUGGGGCUAAUACCGGAUAGGAGCUCCUGCUGCAUGGUGGGGGUUGGAAAGUUUCGGCGGUUGGGGAUGGACUCGCGGCUUAUCAGCUUGUUGGUGGGGUAGUGGCUUACCAAGGCUUUGACGGGUAGCCGGCCUGAGAGGGUGACCGGCCACAUUGGGACUGAGAUACGGCGCAGACUCCUACGGGAGGCAGCAGUGGGGAAUAUUGCACAAUGGGCGGAAGCCUGAUGCGGCAACGCCGCGUGCGGGAUGACGGCCUUCGAGUUGUAAACCGCUUUCGCCUGUGACGAAGCGGGAGUGACGGUAAUGGGUAAAGAAGCACCGGCUAACUACGUG